rnacentral:piRNA from 1 species
UGGUUGCUCUUUGAGCCAGCUUGGCCUC